UGGCAUGUAGUAGGCUCAGUAAAUGCUUGCUGAGUGACCCUACGGGUUAUCAAGCCCUGGCUCUCUAUUUUCUCAGAAAAAAAGCAGCCCUUCUGCCCCUAAAAAAAGUCUACAAAGUCAACUGUGAGACCAGACCUUGACCUGUUCCGUUUGGCGCUCUGGAUUGCGGAGCAUACCGAGGAGUCCUGGGUACUUUCUUUGUUAAGUGGGGUGUGUGUUGUUUUUGUUUUCAAAGCUGGCCUGGAGGCUCUGGGUUGCCAUGGCAACUCUUGAGCAGGGCCGCCUUUUCCCUUCCCUCCAUCUUGGGAGCCCUGGUUGCCAUAACAACUGAUUGGUCCUCUCCUCUUCCUCCAGCUCUGCCACAGGGCUCCAGCUUCCCUCUGGGGGCACCACUGUUCUUAGGUCUGGGGCAACCCUGAUUUCACUUGACCCAUGUACCUUGGGACCCUCUUGAGAGGAGAUAUGGCAGAGCAGAUGCAAUGGCACCCCUGAGCUGCCCUCAGGGAGUCCUCAGCCUUGGAGGAGGCAGGAGACCUGGGCUAUGGAGCCACUCACAGGCCCUACUGAGAACAACUUGGUAUCCAUCACAGUCCUCUUCAGAAUGCCCAGAAUAUGGGGAUAAGACGGUGAAACCGGCGUGUUUAUUAACACAAUGGAAUAUUCUGUGGCCAAAUCAAAGGAAGACGUUGAGGAUACUGGUGACACCUGGAAACGUACUGCUAAGGGAAAAAAGCAGGACCACAAUGUUAUGUGGAUAUUGACUGCGACUAUAUAAUGCCAGCGUGGACUUCUCAGAGAUGGAAUUUGGAGGAAUGUAAUACAGAUGCAAAUAGAGUUUUCCCCACACUG